AGUGAACGCUGGCGGUAGGCCUAACACAUGCAAGUCGAACGGCAGCACAGUAAGAUCUUGCUCUUACGGGUGGCGAGUGGCGGACGGGUGAGGAAUACAUCGGAAUCUACUUUUUCGUGGGGGAUAACGUAGGGAAACUUACGCUAAUACCGCAUACGACCUACGGGUGAAAGCAGGGGAUCUUCGCACCUUGCGCGAUUGAUUGAGCCGAUGUCGGAUUAGCUAGUUGGCGUGGUAAAGGCCCACCAAGGCGACGAUCCGUAGCUGGUCUGAGAGGAUGAUCAGCCACACUGGAACUGAGACACGGUCCAGACUCCUACGGGAGGCAGCAGUGGGGAAUAUUGGACAAUGGGCGCAAGCCUGAUCCAGCCAUACCGCGUGGGUGAAGAAGGCCUUCGGGUUGUAAAGCCCUUUUGUUGGGAAAGAAAAGCAGCAGGUUAAUACCCCGCUGUUCUGACGGUACCCAAAGAAUAAGCACCGGCUAACUUCGUG
rnacentral:rRNA from 1 species